rnacentral:rRNA from 1 species
UACAGAGGGUGCAAGCGUUGUUCGGAAUUAUUGGGCGUAAAGCGCGUGUAGGCGGCUUUGCAAGUCGGGUGUGAAAUCCCUCGGCUCAACCGAGGAAGUGCGCCCGAAACUGCAGAGCUUGAGUACCGGAGAGGAUGGCGGAAUUCCCCAAGUAGAGGUGAAAUUCGUAGAUAUGGGGAGGAACACCGGUGGCGAAGGCGGCCAUCUGGACGGAUACUGACGCUGAGACGCGAAAGCGUGGGGAGCAAACAGGG